GUUUUACUUGGAAGACUUCACUGAACACAAAUAGUGUUUCAAAACAGUAAAAUUUAUUACAACUAUGAUAUAGUCAGUGAAAGUGACUUUAUUUGCAUUUUUCGCACACAAAUGGCACUUACACUGACUAUAUAAUUAUUCUGAUAUGUUUUAUGGUUUUGAAAACCCUAAUUUGUGUUCAGCGAAGUCUCCAGAGUAUAAC